UAGGUUUUGCAAAAUAAAAAAAAAAAUCAAAGUUUUGUUGUAAAAAUCAAUUGAAUUAUAUUCAGAGUAACGAUGAGAAGUAAAUUAUUUCAUGAUAUCUAUAUCUAUAUCUAUAUUAUAUAUAAAAGCAUAUAGAAAUUCCAACAAUAAUAGACGGAAUUCAAAAAGAAUAAAAUAAUAUUCUCCAUAUUUUCUACGAACGAGUAUGAUCACUUAAUUAAAACAAUCUUAAAUAAAAACGAACGAUUAUGAUUAAUCUGUUAAAAAAUAAUAUUCUUAUCCAUCUAUAAAGGAAUCGAAAUAGAAAAAAAACUAUAUUUUUUAUGAGCGGAUAUGAUGAUUUAAUUAGAAAAAUCUCAAAUAAGAACGAACGGUUAUGAUUAAUUUGUUAAAAAAUAGCAUUCUUAUUCAAAAAUUUUAUUUAUAGUAGAUCAAAAUUAAAUUUUAAAUUUUGAAAUAAAUAUGAAUUAAA
rnacentral:lncRNA from 1 species